rnacentral:rRNA from 1 species
CCUACGGGUGGCAGCAGUGGGGAAUAUUGCACAAUGGGGGAAACCCUGAUGCAGCGACGCCGCGUGAGUGAAGAAGUAUUUCGGUACGUAAAGCUCUAUCAGCAGGGAAGAAAAUGACGGUACCUGACUAAGAAUCCCCGGCUAACUACGUUCCAGCCGCCGCGGUAAUACGUAGGGGGCCAGCGUUAUCCGGAUUUACUGGGUGUAAAGGGAGCGUAGACGGCAGCGCAAGUCUGUAGUGAAAUCCCAUGGCUUAACCAUGGAACUGCUUUGGAAACUGUGCAGCUGGAGUGCAGGAGAGGUAAGCGGAAUGACUAGUGUAGAGGUGAAAUGCGUAGAGAUUAGGAGGAACACCAGUGGAGAAGGCGGCUUACUGGACUGUAACGGACGUUGAGGAUCGAAAGCGUGGGGAGCAAACAGGAUGAGAGACCCCGGUAGGC